CCCUCCAGCCAGUGGACUGCAUGCUUCCAUGGAGACAUGGCACUCCCUGCCUCUUCCCUCGGAGCAGAGUCUUGGAGCAGAAGAGAAACAAGCUUCAGAGGGCCAGAGAGAGAGAACAAGCAAGAAGCACCUCUAAGCCAUGGAGGAAGAACAGAUCGCUUUUAUGGAAGAAUAAAGAUCAUGAUUCUUAAAGAGAAAACCAAAGGUAAACUGUAUGAGUCAAGCUGGAAGCUUAUGACACCCUGCUGAACAAGAGCAGAAAUGAGUUCAGGUCAGCAGCAUGACGGUAAGUGAGAAAUGGUAUAAAUAACCUGACUUUAUGUAACCAACACCCUUCAGGCCAUGCCAGGACACCUGGUAGCCCAACACAGAGCAGGGCUAGCAGGGUGCUGAGACAACACACAAGCACAACUGAGGACAGGACCUCAAAUCAUGCCAGACAUCAGUCUCAAAGCCACUUAGAUGUCAUCCAGGUAAAUCACAGUGUGAUGGAGGAGCUGCUACAGAGAUCUGUCAAUGAGGUCUUCAAAUCUAAGAAAAAUGAAACCGUGAGAGCUUUCUUUAAAAAUUCAAUGGUAGUACCCUUCUUCUCUUUCCACAUAAAAUAGGGUUAGAUGGCAGCUGUUACUCACUACAUAAUGCUGUACCUGCAUGCAGUUCAUGAAGUGAGAGCAGCUCGGUAACUCAGAGCAUUGUGAAGCAGUGAGAGAUGUGUGGGCUAUUUGAGAGGGCAUUUCUUCCCUGUUUUUCUUUACCCCUUUAUUUUAUAUCCAGAACAUACCAAUAACACGCAGAGAGAGCACUGGUCUGAUAACUGGAGCUGCAAACAAUUAGUAGUCAUAACUUAAGAAGGAAAACCAUCAACCUCUCUCUAAAUGCCAUAAAAAGAACACUUGAGUUCUCAGUGUUUUGUGAUAAAUUCUCGGUAUGCUUUCUUUUUAGCAAUUUCCAAAGAAAGUGAGAAAAUAGUUCAAGGAAAGAGUUUAUAAAAAUAUUGGACUACAGAUUAUGUAGUGCGUAAGCCAGGUGGUGCUGAAUUUGUUACAGAAUUACAACAACAGCAAUCAUCAGUUUUCUCUUCCUGCUCACCUCAAAAACAUGCAUCCUCCCAGGCACAAGAAGAAAAAAAAUGAUGGUUUUGGUGAUUUGAAAAAUCUGUUCAACACUGUCAGAAAUUUUAAGCAUUAAUCAGAGUUGUCUGGAUAGCUACAAGGCAGAGUAGAUAUUUUCCCCUAUCUUAAAGUUAGAUUUUUGUUUAGCCCCUCUAAUUUUGUAUCUUUAGUGUUUAUUAAAAUCUGUUACUUCACCGUAUUCUCAGUCAAUUCAAGGUAGCUUUUUGUUUGCCAUUUCUGAGAAACGGUAACAACAAACCUCUGAUACUAUGGUAAGUCUAUUGAGCGUUCCUAAAUUGGUUGAAGGAAGGAAGCUCCAUGAUGAGCAAAAAUUACAGCUCCUGCAGAGGAAAAUUGGAGCCUGAGAAGAACGAGAGACUUGGUGUAGAGCUUAAUAGAACCAAUCUGUAGGAGUACCUAUAGUUCUGCCUCCUGCUUUGACUCACAGUACAUCGACAUUCUGCAGAGUCUUAUCUCAAGUCAGGUGAGAAGGCAUGAAAUACUUACCAUGAGUCAAAAGAGAUGCAUCAAUAGAACAUUAAUUUGAAAGAAAAAGCAGAGGUAACUAUAAAAUAUAUCACCCUGUUGUUUAUUUGUGUGAUUAGGAGAGCAGUUUCCUUUAACCACAAGAUGUAGGAGAUAGAGCAUCACUCUCCAGGUCAGACCAAGAGCACAGACUGCACCUUCCUCCAUCGGGGAGACUUCUCAGACUCAACGUGAUGCAGAGGGAACCAGAUCACAUCUGCACCACUAAGAAGAAAGCACCUAUAGUUAAGGUAGACAAGGACUGCUGUAGAGUCAGCUAAAAGGAUUCCAUAAAGCCUUUUCUAACCAGUUGAUACUCAGCUCCGAUAUAUUCAUCAUGCAGCACGAUGAGCAGCAAUGACUUGAAUCCAGGACACAUUUAAUCUCUUAUAGUUCUUAAGGUUGCCUUUUAAUCAUUUUCACUUUACUAUUAUUGUAGAAACACAUGAUGGAGUUAAAACAUUUCUAUUACAUAUAUGAGAUCUGUCAUUGUACUUCCCCCCCUCUUUCUAGCUUUUCUUGAUAGCAGGUGUGCAUCUAGAUUGAAGACCAGAUUUUGUGCAGUGCAGCAGCACAGAUGCUGGUUUGUUUCUUUUUAAUGUUGUUUCUUUUUAAUCUUUUAUAUCACACAACAAAGGACAGAGGCCAUAACCAACUGCAAACUGAAAUGGUGACAGCAAAGACUAAAACUGCAGUUUUGAGGAAAACCAUGGGUAGCUGGAAAAAAAUGUACCGCAGCAUAAAAGUAACCCCAGAAAGCUUGUGCCAUACUGGACCUGAAAUCAGUAUCUCGAGUCUGGGUAUGGAGGAGAUAACACAUUUCUGGAAACAAACUCAUCCUUCUGUGUACUUUUCUUGGCUUUAUUCCCUUCUGGUUACUUUCCUAACAAAGUUUGUUUAUGUGUUUUAAGUUUACACUUUGGAAAAAAGCAUGAAGCAAUUAAUCUAAUAGGAUUCAGUACUAAAAUCCUGGGGACAUAACUGUUAGCAAACUUUUCAAGUAGUGUGCAGAUAAAUUGCAGAUUUUUUUUUAUAGAACUCCUAUUUUCUUUCACUUUCUGAACUGCAUGAGAUAAUUUUCUAUUUUUAAGGGACAGAUCAUGAUAUAACCAAACAAGCUGGGAUUCAUCCUCCCACAUCAGCUGUAAUAAGGCUCAAUGGCAGAAGCAGUAAUAAAACCUAAACCAAAUUCCUUUAUACAACUUCAAGUUCACCUUCACUUCUCAGGAGGAGGCCUAAAAAACACUGACUCAUAGGCCACAUACCACCUCUGCUUUCGUGUGCAAUUUACCACUGAGAAGGAAAUAACAAGCAAAUAACAAGUGACCUCACCUGCUACCACAUGAGACAAACUAGGGACCUGCAUCUCUUGUUGCCUCCAAGCCCUAGAAGUGCUAAAAGCUGGAACUCCCAACAUUUUUUCAUCCUCUGGUCUUGUGCACGCUGCUCUUCUUAGGACUCUGCUUAUUUCCAAUUACUCCUGCUCAAGAGUUUAAUUUAAAAUGUAUAUUGAGGGUUAAAUUAACUUUGUGCCUUAGAGUAAACACAUUAUCUACAGUAAAAUCUGGAGAUAAGUCAUUGUUCUCAGCUUCUACACUUUAAUCUGAAAGAGGAUGAAUUUUCAGUAAUGAAGAGUUCAGUAUUCAUGCAUUGAGUCAAAACCAUAGAACUGAAAUAUCAAAGCAUGUGAAGAAAUCUCUGAUCUUUACAUCAAAGUCCACUGAACAGAAGAGACCCUCUUUGCAGCAGUGAAUGUCAGUGAAGGUCGUGCAGCUUCCACCUUUACUUAGAUAAACAAAAGCAUUGAUGUGUUGAAGAACCCAAUGCCAGUUGCUUCUGAAGCCAAAUGCUGAAAGUUUUAAGAAAAUGUGUUCUGUACAUAUCUGAUAUCUCAUGAAUACAAAAAGAAACUCAGGUUUUGUAGGAAAUGCCUGCUUGCAUGGAUCCAAACCAGAAUGCGUGGGAUGCACACUCAUUGUUUCUUAGGCACAAGUGCAUCCAGCUUAGAUCCUCACCCUACAGCUAUUUUGCUGUUUUUCACUCAAUGAAGUCCCAGGAUUAACCAGAAUCUAGGUCUUCCAGCUGCAGAAUCACAAACUCACCCACUGGUCUAACAAAUAUCUUCCUAAAUUUUAAAUAAAGGUUAAAUGGCUUUACCAAGAGAUACUAAUGAGCUAAAAUAUGUGAAACUAAAGCUCCCCCAGAAAGAACGAAAACCCUUAUUAAAAUCUCUUUCCAAAUCAGGCCUAACAAACUUUUAAACUAGCUUUUGAACUAGCUGCUCACAUUCCAAGCAAAUCCUCUAAAUGCUUAAAAAAAUGAAAAACAAAAAACACCAACAAAAAACAACCCUAUUACUAAACCAGUACGGAUGCUUAUUUCCAGAAAAAUACUUACCUUCCAUAUAAUAACAGAACCUUCCAUUGUCUCCUCUUCUGAGCAAGGUGCUCCACUUUUUCCUCUGUAGUCUUGUUGUUGUCCCCUCUUCUUCCUCCUGUUUAAUAAAAGAACCUCCCCAGCCAAGAUCAUUUUAGACUCCCUUUAAAAGUUAUGUACAACUCUUCUGCUGUGUAUGAGGCUGCUCUCUAAGCACGUUGCAUACUUCAUCUUUAUUUGCAUUUCCUUUGACCACAGAGACUCAAAAGCAGUUGUAACAACUUCCUAAAAGGAACUGAAGUAGGAAAUAUGCUUUUCAGCUGCCUGCUAAAACACUAAAUACAGGCAAUACCCUCCCUACUCCUGCCUAACCAGGCUAUCUCCAGUCUUGCUGAACAAACUUAACAUUCCUGCAGAUUUAGUCAACAAAAAGCCAAAGCAGCAUUCUUAAAUUUGCAAACGAUAGCCAGAAUAAACAAAAAUGCACAAUUAAAUGCUACAGCUAUGUAGUAGCUCUCAUCCAUCCUUAUUCCCUCCCCAGCUUCUCUUACAAUCCCUAACAUACAAACCAUACACACAGUUUAUAUAAUGACAGAAUCCGUCUUGAUGCCAAUCAGCCAGAAACAAGGCCAAUUAAUACUGAUCUGUGAUGGUAUAAACCAAGCAGUUAGCUGUUGACUAUUCUCCAGUAAACCUGUUUUUGCCCCAUUAGCCUUUACUUUUCCAAUGAAGAGAGAAAUUCCAAUAUUACAACUGUGCUUAAAGGAUAACAUUUGCACAGAUCAGCUCUCUUCAGUGAACUGCACAGCCUCAGGCACACAGCCCCACAGUUGUGGUCAGGACAAAUGAGAUGAUUUAAUCAUUAUUAUCAAUUUUUAACUCUAUUUGUACACUGAUCCUAAACCCUUUGGUUGCUUCACUGCUUUAUCAUGUAAGACACCAACAAGAACCUGCCUAAAAUUUAUUAGAACAAAUUAGUGAAAAAGGACCAAGUCAUUAGGAUUCAAUGGUACUCACCAAGAAUAAGACAUGCGAAUAAAAUUGUCACCAAA